rnacentral:rRNA from 1 species
AACGAACGCUGGCGGCGCGCCUAAUACAUGCAAGUCGAGCGAGAAGACGUAGCAAUACGUUUGUAAAGCGGCGAACGGGUGAGGAAUACAUGGGUAACCUACCCUCGAGUGGGAAUAACUAGCCGAAAGGUUAGCUAAUACCGCGUACGCUCCUUGGACUUCGGUUCGGGAGAAGCGAUACCGUGGGUAUCGCGCUCUUGGAUGGGCUCAUGUCCUAUCAGCUUGUUGGUGAGGAACGGCUCACCAAGGCUUCGACGGGUAGCUGGUCUGAGAGGACGAUCAGCCACACUGGCACUGCGACACGGGCCAGACUCCUACGGGAGGCAGCAGUAAGGAAUAUUGCGCAAUGGGCGAAAGCCUGACGCAGCGACGCCGCGUGGGGGA